GUGAACGAUCAAGGGCGCGCGGUGGAUGCCUUGGCUCUCGGAGGCGAUGAAGGACGCGAUAAGCCGCGAUAGGCCACGGCGAGGUGCAAGUAACCCUUGACCCGUGGAUUUCCGAAUGGGGCAACCCGGCCGUCUAGAUGACGGUCAUCCAGCAAUGGAGGCGAACGCGGGGAACUGAAACAUCUCAUUACCCGCAGGAGAAGAAAACAACAGUGAUUCCCCCAGUAGUGGCGAGCGAACGGGGAAGAGCCCAAACCGGUGCCGUUUCGGCGACACCGGGGUCAUGGGACCGCGCCAUUCGACGAUGGACGAAGUGCAAUUACCUGGAAAGGUAAGCCGCGGAGGGUGAUAGCCCCGUGCACGACAGCCCCAUCGAAGAUAGCGGAAUCCCGAGUAGGGCGGGACACGAGAAAUCCUGCCUGAAUUCGCCAGGACCCCCUGGCAAGGCUAAAUACUCCCGAGAGACCGAUAGUGAACCAGUACCGCGAGGGAAAGGUGAAAAGUACCCCGAGCAGGGGGGUGAAAUAGACCCUGAACCCGCGCGCCUACAAGCGGUCGGAGCCAUGAAAUAUGGUGACGGCGUGCCUUUUGCAUAAUGAGCCUACGAGUUAGUCGUCACCAGCGAGGUUAAGGGCUUCAGGCCCGUUAGCCGAAGUGAAAGCGAGCCUUAACAGGGCGCCGAGUUGGUGGCGCUAGACGCGAAACCUUGUGAUCUACCCACGAGCAGGUUGAAGUCGCGGUAACGCGUGAUGGAGGACCGAACCGGUAAACGUUGAAAAGUUUUCGGAUGACUCGCGGGUAGGGGUGAAAGGCCAAUCAAACUGGGAAAUAGCUCGUACUCUCCGAAAUGCAUUUCGGUGCAGCCUGUGAUGUUCUGUUCCAGAGGUAGAGCUACUGGUUGGACGCGAGGGCUUCACCGCCUAUCAAAUCCGGAUAAACUCCGAAUGCUGGAACACGAAAUCAUGGAGUGAGCCCGCGGGUGCUAAGGUCCGCGGACGAGAGGGAAAGAACCCGGACCACCGGCUAAGGUCCCGGAUGGACAGUUAAGUUGAUCAAACGAGGUGGGAUCGCGGAGACAGCUAGGAUGUUGGCUUGGAAGCAGCCAUUCAUUUAAAGAGUGCGUAACAGCUCACUAGUCGAGCGAUCCCGCGUGGAUAAUACACGGGCAUCAAACUGUCAACCGAAGCCGUGGGGUCAGUGUUGAACUGACCGGUAGGAGAGCAUUCCUGCCAGCGUUGAAGGUCACCCGCGAGAGUGACUGGAGCGGCAUGAAAAGCAAAUGUAGGCAUAAGUAACGAUAAUGGGGGCGAGAACCCCCCACGCCGCAAGACCAAGGAUUCCCCGGCAAUGUCAAUCAGCCGGGGGUCAGCCGGCCUCUAAGGCUAACCCGAAGGGGGACGCCGACGAGAAACGGGUUAACAUUCCCGUGCUUCUCGUCACCGUGACGCGGUGACGGGGUGAUGAAUGGACCGCGCGCUGACGGAAUAGCGCGUUGAAGACCGUACCCUUUGACGGUGGUAGUCAAGCACGCCACCGGAGGCGAAAGUCGAUAGUACCUCGAGGCCUCGGCCGAGGGGAUAGCGUCCAGGCAAUUUACCCCCGAGAAAACCCGCUAAACUUCAAGUGACGAGGAACCGUACUGUAAACGGACACACGUGGUCGGGUAGAACAUACCAAGGCGCUCGAGUGAUUCAUGGUCAAGGAACUAGGCAAAAUAGUCCUGUAACCUCGGGAAAAAGGACGCUCUAGUGAUAGAGCCGCAGAGUAAUGGCCCAGGCGACUGUUUACCAAAAACACAUGGCUAUGCCAAAUCGAAAGAUGACGUAUAUGGCCUGACACCUGCCCGGUGCCGGAAGGUUAAGAGGAGAGCUCAUCGGAAACGAGAAGGUUUGAAUUGAAGCCCCGGUAAACGGCGGCCGUAACUAUAACGGUCCUAAGGUAGCGAAAUUCCUUGUCGGGUAAGUUCC
rnacentral:rRNA from 1 species